rnacentral:rRNA from 1 species
GAUGAACGCUAGCUACAGGCUUAACACAUGCAAGUCGAGGGACCGGCGCACGGGUGAGUAACACGUAUCCAACCUACCCUUUACUCGGGGAUAGCCUUGCGAAAGAAAGAUUAAUACACGAUAUAAAGGAGGGGGAGUCUUUCCAUUAGAUUGUUGGGUAGGUAACGGCUCACCAAGCCUUCGAAGGAGAGGGGUUCUGAGAGGAAGGUCCCCUACAUUGGAACUGAGACACGGUCCAAACUCCUACGGGAGGCAGAAGUGAGGAAUAUUGGGCAAUGGGCGCUAGUCUGAACCAGCCAAGUAGUGUGAAGGAUGAAGGCUUAUGGUUCGUAAUCUUGUUUUAUAUAAGAAUAUGUAUUAUAUGAAUAAGGAUCGGCUAACGCCGUGCCAGCAGCCGCGGUAAUUC